ensembl:lncRNA
CACACACACACGAGUUAAGAGAAUGGUUCUCCAAAAGGCAUUGGGGUGGAAGGCCAGGUAGGCUCUGAAGCAUACACCUACACCCUUCCCUCCGUGCAGUUCCUGUCCUCAAAGAAGAAAAACUUAAACAAAUAAAUAAACAAAAAAAGCAGCCAAGCAGGGCAGCCGCACCCAGCGUCCUGGCUGCGGCAGGAACAUUCCGUCUCGGAGCUCCAGUGGGUCCCUGUUUGUGCAGGCAGAGCUGUCUGACGCCAUUGCCCGCAAGCUGGCAUUUCUGUCCUGGAGCCUCAGCGCCAUGGCCCAACCCUCCUCCGGGGGCUGGGCCUUUCAGGACUACGUCUGCAGGCAUUGUGCUGAGUAGCAGAGAGCUUGGAGAAGCCCUGACAGCAUCCUGUACACAAGGAUGCGGGAGAUUCCUCAUCUUGACUGCAGCCUGCUCUCCCUUCGACAGAGAGAAGCAAAGACCUCGUGCCACAGGGCCCAGUGGAGACAAGGUUAAUGGAUGGGUGACAGGUUGGGCAAAGGCGGGAAGAAAUAUGAAGUGGGAAUGUUCCAUGCAUCCCUUUCUCUUUGUGGCACUCG